AUUGAACGCUGGCGGCAGGCUUAACACAUGCAAGUCGAGCGGGGUGAUGGUGCUUGCACUAUCACUUAGCGGCGGACGGGUGAGUAAUGCUUAGGAAUCUGCCCAUUAGUGGGGGACAACAUCUCGAAAGGGAUGCUAAUACCGCAUACGUCCUACGAGAGAAAGCAGGGGAUCACUUGUGACCUUGCGCUAAUAGAUGAGCCUAAGUCGGAUUAGCUAGUUGGUGGGGUAAAGGCCUACCAAGCCGCCGAUCUGUAGCGGGUCUGAGAGGAUGAUCCGCCACACUGGGACUGAGACACGGCCCAGACUCCUACGGGAGGCAGCAGUGGGGAAUAUUGGACAAUGGGGGGAACCCUGAUCCAGCCAUGCCGCGUGUGUGAAGAAGGCCUUAUGGUUGUAAAGCACUUUAAGCGAGGAGGAGGCUCUUUUGGUUAAUACCCAAGAUGAGUGGACGUUACUCGCAGAAUAAGCACCGGCUAACUCUGUGCCAGCCGCCGCCGUAACAC
rnacentral:rRNA from 1 species